GGGCCCGCACAAGCGGUGGAGCAUGUGGUUUAAUUCGAUGAUACGCGAGGAACCUUACCAGGGCUUAAAUGCAGAACGACAGAGGUGGAAACACCUCCUUCUUCGGACGGUCUGCAAGGUGCUGCAUGGUUGUCGUCAGCUCGUGCUGUGAAGUGUCGGGUUAAGUCCCAUAACGAGCGCAACCCCUAUUUCUAGUUGCCAGCGGUUCGGCCGGGGACUCUAGAGAAACUGCCAGCGUAAGCUGUGAGGAAGGUGGGGAUGACGUCAAAUCAUCACGGCCCUUACGUCCUGGGCUACACACGUGCUACAAUGGUAGGGACAGAGAGUUGCCAACCCGCGAGGGUGAGCUAA
rnacentral:rRNA from 1 species